GAUGAACGCUGACAGAAUGCUUAACACAUGCAAGUCGAUUCAAUUUACCUUCGGGUAUUGAGGAUGGCGGACGGGUGAGUAACGCGUAAGGAACUUGCCUCUUGGUCUGGGACAACUGUUGGAAACGACAGCUAAUACCGGAUAUUAUGAGAUUCUCGCAUGAGAAACUUAUGAAAGCUAUAUGCGCCAAGAGAGAGCCUUGCGUUCCAUUAGCUAGUUGGUGGGGUAACGGCCCACCAAGGCGACGAUGGAUAGCCGGCCUGAGAGGGUGAACGGCCACAAGGGGACUGAGACACGGCCCUUACUCCUACGGGAGGCAGCAGUGGGGAAUAUUGGACAAUGGGCCACAAGCCUGAUCCAGCAAUUCUGUGUGCACGAUGAAGGUCUUCGGAUUGUAAAGUGCUUUCAGUUGGGAAGAAGAAAGUGACGGUACCAACAGAAGAAGCGACGGCUAAAUACGUGCCAGCAGCCGCGGUAAUACGUAUGUCGCAAGCGUUAUCCGGAUUUAUUGGGCGUAAAGCGCGUCUAGGCGGAAAAAUAAGUCUGAUGUUAAAAUGCGGGGCUCAACUCCGUAUUGCGUUGGAAACUGUUUUUCUAGAGUACUGGAGANGUGGGCGGAACUGCAAGUGUAGAGGUGAAAUUCNUAGAUAUUUGUAGGAAUG
rnacentral:rRNA from 1 species